AAAAUACCCCACACAGAAACACUAUUAACCAUAAGCGAUGGCGGGAUACCACAGGCGGCCCAGAAUCCGGCAUCUGAAUAAUGCGAUGUGCAUGCAUUACAAGAAAUAAAUGUUGUAUAUUUA